rnacentral:rRNA from 1 species
AUUGAACGCUGGCGGAAUGCUUUACACAUGCAAGUCGAACGGCAGCACGGACUUCGGUCUGGUGGCGAGUGGCGAACGGGUGAGCAAUGUAUCGGAACGAGCCCAGUCGUGGGGGAUAACGUAGUGAAAAUUACGCUAAUACCGCAUACGAUCUAUGGAUGAAAGCGGGGGAUCGCAAGACCUCGCGCGAUUGGAGCGGCCGAUAUCAGAUUAGGUAGUUGGUGGGGUAAAGGCCCACCAAGCCAACGAUCUGUAGCUGGUCUGAGAGGACGACCAGCCACACUGGAACUGAGACACGGUCCAGACUCCUACGGGAGGCAGCAGUGGGGAAUUUUGGACAAUGGGCGAAAGCCUGAUCCAGCCAUUCCGCGUGCAGGAUGAAGGCCCUCGGGUUGUAAACUGCUUUUGUACAGAACGAAAAGGUUUCUACUAAUACUAGGAGCUCAUGACGGUACUGUAAGAAUAAGCACCGGCUAACUACGUGCCAGCCGCCGCAGUAA